ACCCUCAGCUCGAACGCAAGUCGUGUCGGAUCCCGCGGCCGAGGAGAGACCGAUCGACCCUCCGGCGAGCUCGCGCUCGCC
rnacentral:rRNA from 1 species